rnacentral:rRNA from 1 species
GAUGAACGCUGGCGGCGUGCCUAAUACAUGCAAGUCGAGCGAACGGACGAGAAGCUUGCUUCUCUGAUGUUAGCGGCGGACGGGUGAGUAACACGUGGAUAACCUACCUAUAAGACUGGGAUAACUUCGGGAAACCGGAGCUAAUACCGGAUAAUAUUUUGAACCGCAUGGUUCAAAAGUGAAAGACGGUCUUGCUGUCACUUAUAGAUGGAUCCGCGCUGCAUUAGCUAGUUGGUAAGGUAACGGCUUACCAAGGCAACGAUGCAUAGCCGACCUGAGAGGGUGAUCGGCCACCCUGGAACUGAGACACGGUCCAGACUCCUACGGGAGGAAGCAGUAGGGACUCUUCCGCAAUGGGCGAAAGCCUGACGGAGCAACGCCGCGUGAGUGAUGAAGGUCUUCGGAUCGUAAAACUCUGUUAUUAGGGAAGAACAUAUGUGUAAGUAACUGUGCACAUCUUGACGGUACCUAAUCAGAAAGCCACGGCUAACUACGUG